AGGAACAAAUAAAUUUGCAGUGGCUACACAGCGCCCAACGACAUGUUCUGACUGAUUUUCUGUCCCUCUCGCACAUACUCUUUAUCUUUAGCUGGUUACCUAACUGUAAAUGCACCGUAAAAAAUAUUGUCUUAAUUGAGCAAAUAUAGCUACUGCAUAAUUUAUGAACAGCGUUUUUAUUAGGAAGUUAAUUUCAUUAAACAAAAAUUGUUAAAGAAUGCCGUGUUGUAUUUAAUGUAAUAUAAACGUAUUAUUUAAUAUGUAAUAUGUAGAUAAUUUAUUGUUUUUAAACAUGUGCAUAGAAUAUAAUGUUAUAGAAUAUUUUUUUCUGUGCAAUAGGCAAAGCGUGCGAGGCGCGCGCCAAAAAUAUGCCGCAUUAUUCUGCUGCAUUCAUUCCGAUUCGGUUGCUCAGACAGUAAGAAUGGACUACGAAAAUAUUAAAUUUGAAUUCAGAGAAGGAAGCCGAGCGGGCUGCUCGUUACUGUUGUUUUCAUUAUUCGAGCAACAAAUUUAUGUAAAAAACAAACAAUUAAAACUAGGCGAAACCACAUAUGUGUGCCGAGUUAAAUUCUGUAAAGCCAGAGUUUAUUUAAGUUCAGACAAAUCUAGAGUUUACUCAAAUCCUGAAUAUGUUGUGCAUAGCCAUGGCCCUCAGAGUGAUGAAAUGAAAAAAAUCAGUGCUCUUAGUGAAAUAAAACUGAAGUGCGAAAAUAAUAGCAAUUUCGACACCAAAAAAGUAUUCAAUGAUGUUCUUGCUGAGAAAACAAGAGGUGAAGCGGAGAUUGAAAUAAAUUAUGACUCUGUCAAACGCACUUUGCAAAGAAAAAAACGACUUGGAAGAAAAUGAAAAUAUAAAGCCAAAAUGUCCAAGUUGCAACCAAGAAGUCGAAGAGGCCAUACGCAAUGUUUUUAUUUAUAAUUAACUUGUGUAAGUUAAGAACGAAAAAAUUUAAGAAAACUGCUAUUAUGAUUUCUGUGUAUUUGGACUAUUGCACAUUUUUUAAUUUCAAUAAAAUUAUGUUAUAAAAGGAAA